CUUCGGGCUUCGUGCAACGGACGCUCGCGAACCCCGCCAGGUCCGGAAGGAAGCAACGGUAACGAGCCUCUCCGUGUGCCGCGGACCCCCGAAGUCU
rnacentral:SRP_RNA from 1 species